UCACGUGCAGUGAUUUAUGGACCAGAGAUGUUGAAAUCCCUAAAUCCCUUGCAAUUGUACUUUGAGAAACGUUUUUAAACUGUUCGACUAUUUGCUCAUGCAGUUGUUCACAAAGUGGUGAACCUCGCCCCAUCCUUGCCUGUGAAUGACUGAGAAUAUUUGGGGAAGCUGCUUUUAUACCCAAUCAUGGCACCCACCUGUUCCCAAUUAGCCUGCUCACCUGUGGGAUGUUCCAAAUAGGAGUUUGAUGAGCAUUCCUCAAAUUUCUCUGUAUUUUUUGCCACCUUUCCCAACUUCUUUGUCACGUGUUGCUACCAUCAAAUUCUAAAGUAAAUGAUUAUUUGCAAAUAAAAACGAUAAAGUUUAUCAGUUUGAACAUGAAAUAUCUUGUCUUUGUAGUGUAUUCAACUGAAUAUAGGUUGAAAGGAUUUGCAAAUCAUUGUAAUCUGUUUUUAUUUACAUUUAUCACAAUUUACCAACUUUAAUGGAAUUGGGUUUUGUACAUGUCAACAUUGUGACCAGGGGAGAGAAUAAUUAAUAUGACUUGUAGUAAUUUUUAAAGUUUGUACACAGUUCCAUUAAGAUUGCUGUAGGAGGGGGGGUUUAUGACCUAUACUGCAACCAGUCACCAAAGGGUGCUGUUCUGGUGGUGGCUUCACACAGCGAGGAGGCACAUGAUGUCCACAGUCUAUGACGUUAACACAAAACAGUAUAUUUCACACUCAAACAAAAAUAGAAAAAAAAAACAUGGAAAUUGGACAUAGCUGCCAAGUUCACUUAAUCACAAAAAAGACCCAAAUCCUUGAAAAUAGAAACAAAAAGUUGUUGAAUAAAAGAUGUUCCAUAAAAAUUCGGUAUAAAAGACAAACCACCAGACAUUUUUUUUGCCGUCAGAAUUAUACCAAUAUACCACAGAAAUACAGAGAGGUAUUUUUUAUGGUAAUUGAGCUGGCAGAUGGCGCUCAAAGAAACAAGUGCUUGCCGUACAAUGCAAAGCAUACUGGGAUACAAUGUGGCACAGAAUGUCCUUGCGCACUUUUUAAACAGUUUUUCUCCACUAUGUACAGACAGUUGUAGUGUACUAGGGUGACCAUUUUCUGAAUCCCCGAAAAGAGGACACGACUACGCAGGGGCAGAUUCACAGAUUUGCGCGUAGUUAAUUUUGAGAGUUUUUCGGGUCGGAUUGAGUGUUUUUUACACGCUUUUAACUCAGUAUGUCCACGUGACAGAAACUCAAAACUUCCAUACAACAGUUGAAGGAUUUUAUAAACUUCCUCGGACAAGGCCAGACAGAUGUAUGAUCACCUUAAGUAUACCUUUUAGUAAAUAACACUUAUGCUUAUUUGGUUGAUCGGGCUCAUAAGUUUAGCACCACAAAUAAACAGCAGCGUAUUACUGAGCGUCUUAAAGGUCCGCCAUCCAGUUUGAAGUGGCGUCAAAAGAAUCACAGUACUCAUGAGACCACAAAGGAUGCACUAAAUGUAAACUCCUCCACAGGCCAGGAAAGUAGAACGCAUAUGAAGGAGCCUUCGAACUAGGACAGCCUUUGACGCACCGCUGUGACGUAAUCGGUCUUCAAAUGCACCCUUCAAAAGAUGCUGGUCCUGGAUUGGGACUCAGCUAUUCCCAGAAAAAGCAAAUUUGAUAUGAUUUUUUAUUAACUAUUAGGCGUGUGAGUUUGUUUGAUAACUUUUUUGGGUUCCCUGUGUUUGUGUUUUGCCACUUUGCCGUAAGGUGACUUAGUGUACCUUUAUAUUUAUAUAUGAAUAAGAAAUGAAGCUUCUUGUGUUACUCUCAGCCAGGAAACCAAAUGGUAAGAUUCACAACUAGUCAGCACAUUUCCCAAAUAAGAUAUUUGUAUGAGAGAGUCAGCCACUAUCUUGCAGUCUAAUUAUGUCUGUGUGCUUUCAGAUAAAUUGAAUUUUUAUUAAACCUUUCCUCCUCUCAGCGAUUCCACUUUAUUUGGGUCAUAAUGAUUUCCCACACAGUUUUUCUCUUCAUGUGUUUACUGUUUGUUUGUUUGUGUGCUGCAUGUGAAGAGGAGAUCCACUCCAACAGAAAAUCUACCCAAACCACCAGCUCCCUAAUGUAUCUCCUUUGGGAGUGCCUCCCCGUCAUCCAACACCAUCUUCAAAUAAGAUUACUGCGCAGAAAGGAUUGUAUCUCCUACAGCUCUCAGCUCCAUCUCUGUCCCUUACACAGACAACAGCAGCAGAGUGCCACCUUUGUUCAGCACAGAAUAUCAAGGUUUCAAAUCUCAAUCACACCUGGUCUGUUGACAUUUUUAAAAUUCGGAUCACAUUGCAGACAAGGCUCAAUAAUGAGCAAUUGACGGGGGUGGAAACAUUUAAGUUGUCCCCACGGACAGCUUUAAAGUACAUUUUUUUCCACAGCAUUCAUGAGGUGACAUACAGAUCCGUUUGUGGUCACAUGGGUGUGUUGGCUUUAAUUUGCGUUACUAUUUUUGAUAUCACUUAAAUUGGCCCCAUGAGCCUGGUUUAGCUGCUGCUAACAAUGACGGAGAGAUUUAUAAUUGGUCCUGGUUUUUUCCUAUCGGAAGGCCUCCAGAUAAUGAGGGAGGACACUCACUGCCCUUUUCCCUGACUUGUGCUCCUAUUACUGCUACACUAUAAUAAUUGGUGCCCUUUGACAGCAGCAUGUCUGGUAACACACCUCCUUCCAUGAUCACAGCUUGCACAUGAAAUAAUCACACUGUGGUAUAUCCAUCCAAUGACUGCAAAUUUCUAAUUUGUCAACAAAAUGUGAUAAUUACGAGAGUGAAAUGUGUAAUGGCAUGUUGUGCAUACGCUCUAUACACACUCUACAAUUAGAUCGGUGCAUAUUGAGAGGAAGUGAGAGGUGUGAAGCCAGACUCUAAUAAUAACUGCUUUCAAAACUCAAGUCAGCGUUUCCCUUUGAAUUUUUUUCCUUUCUUGUUUGCCUCCUCUGAACUGAAUUCUUCUCAGCACAGCAAAUAAAGGACACAGGGAGAGAGUCGGUGAAAGAAAGAGCGAGAGAGCAUAAUUAGGUAGAGGUGCAGAGCAGAGAGGUAUCAGUUUGGGUUUCUGUGCGGUAACAAUGAGAAAGGAGGAUGAAAGAAAAUGCGGAGGUUUGUCGACAAAACUGAGUCUAAUCUGUGUCAGAGCAGCGGUCAAUCCAAAACCAAAGGAUUUGACGUGGCCUUGUGUGCAUAAUGUUUUUUAAUACAUGGCUCCUGUCAGAACACUUUGCUGUGAUGUUCCUUUGAGGGGAUGCUCUGGAUGAGCUGGUACUGUUGAGCGAGUGAAAAGUGGGUCAAACGUGUGGUUUUGGCUCUCUGUGGAAGCAGACGUGCUCUAGUCUCAGCUUCUUUGAUGUGAGAAUUGGGAGGCUGUCAGAAGCUAGUUUUGCAACAGCAGGAAUUAAUAAUAAAGUUUUAUUCUACAGAAGGGUACACUAAGAAGCUCUAUUAUUUGGUGUAGAGAGCAUUGACUAAAUUCACAGUACAAUAAUAUUCAGGAGGGUUGGGACUGUGGACUGGUCUUGGUGUGCCAUUCAAAGCAGUUUAGAUGCCAGUAAUCAGGUUCUGACAUACUUAGGGGAAUGAUGUAUCAUCCACAAACAUAUGCUGUAUGCUGCUGAUGCUGAUUGGUGCGGUUUGAGGCAUUUCAUCUCUUAAUUAAUUUUGGUCUUUCUAACAUGUAUGCCUCAGUGUUUGCGUAAUUGCUUAUAUCUAGUAUCAUGCAUAAUGCCCCUCCUAGCUGUGUUCUAUUAAUACUCAAAACUGCAUUGAUUAGCCAAAGCCAAGCAUGGCCGUGUUGUUAAAUGAGCUCAAGGAAGCAGUCGGUGUGGAUGUGUCAGCAUGGAUAUUGUUCUCUCUGAGAAAGGAACAUACUGUACCGACAAAUGAAUCAAUUGCACAUGCAAGGAAGUCUUUUUACAGAUGCACACAAUCAAGCAGAGAAUAGGCCUAUCAAUUUUGGAGAACAUGUGACCUUUUGUUUGGGGCUUCAAUCUGCACAAUUAUUCUUGUAAUUCAAUGAUCUCAGUGGGUACAGCCACGUUACUAAACCCAACGGACUGCUCCAUUCUGUCGCUUACAUGGCACACUGAUCAUAGAAAUCAAUGUUUUAUUAUGUCUCAGGUCCGCAUCAAUACCUUGGAUUGAUUCUAUUAUUCCCCACAUGGAUACCAUGCACAAUUCUAGACAUGUUUUUUGUGUUAUUGGUUAUAAUGAAGUCAUCAGUUUAUAUGUGUAUAACAUCUUUAUUUACUUUUUUUUUUAAUAGUUGCAGCUGUUUUAGUCAUGCUUGCUUGUGUUACAGCUGAAAUACCAAGCAGGUUAGGUAAGACAGUGACACUAAAAUGCCCAUAGGUGUUAGGGGUGUAUCCCUCUAUAUAUGUGUCAUCCUGUGAUUGACUGGAUGCUCCUCAAUGAUACGUGGUUAUAGUCUUGUGUAAUGGAUGGAUGUUUUUGUGACACAGCUGUGCAAGUGGAAGAUGUGUUGCCCAGUCUCCAUAAAACCAAGCCCAACCGUUAACAGCCCUGGGGAUUUGUUGACGUAUUGAGGACCAACCGUUGGGCCAACAUCUGCUCCUCCCACAGAAUAAAUGAGGCAGGAUACUUGUGCUUCAGUUGCUGUGUGCUGCUGCAUUCACAUAGCAUGCCAGCCUGCAUGGCUUGCUUCUGAUUUUUUCCUCUUCAGCACCUCUUAGCUGAGAAUCCCUCAACGACAAUGUCAUCUGUAAAGGGGAGUUAUGUGAGCCCUCUCUGCGGUUUUGAAACAUCUAGAACAUGUUGUUGAUACUGUGGGCAAAACAAAAGCAUCUUUGCACCUCUCCUGCCCCAAGCUAUGACAAGUCUCUAUUACAAAACACUUUCAUGCAAGAAGGAGUCCAUCUGUGUUAUUUCUCACUCCCUGUUAUUCAGAUAAAAAAGUGAAAUAUAAAGUUAGCUGCAUUGUAAGGUUGUAGGUUGGUCAUGCUUAAUAACGCUCAGAAUCUUACCUCAGCUUGGCAGUCACAGUGAACACACAGGCACCUCACAAACCAAUUAUGUCUUCGGCCUUUAAUGAUAUUGGACAGCCUUAGGGGAGAAAAUAUUAGUAUCUGUACUUUAUGAACACAAAGACCCAAUAUGGUCAGAGAGAAGACACAUCAUCUCUCCUUUUUUUUUUUUUUUUUUUUUCCGGAAGCACAUCUGCCUUCUUUCUGCUCCUUGAAAACUGUGUUUGAAGGAUCCUCUGCCUCUUAGAACUCCUAGUUCUUUUAAAACCACACAAGGACUGCAAGGAAGCAUGAUAGUUUAUUGAUGAGACAAAUCCAUGAACGCUCUGGCCACUCACCAUUUCAAUUUAAAGGCAAUAUUUCCAAAGAGGGACUGAAUUCAAAAAUGCCAUUUGGAGGAUAGUGGUUGUUUGUUUACACUAAUGGGAGAGCUAAAUAUUGGAGCUAAAAAGGAAGUAAUUAGAGCCAUGUGAACGCAUUAUUCCAUGCCUGGAUUCAGAUGCUGCAAAGAGGCAGCCAAUAAAAGGAGUGCUGCUACGUGGGCGCUUCUGUUGGUGGGUGAGGGGAUAAAAUCCCAGAUAUGAGGAUGCAUUAUUAACAUUCAGGAAAGAAUGAGAAGGUGGCACCAUUUUGGUCUGUCAUUUAAAUUGUCAUGAUUAAAUUAUAAAGGCAAUCAUCAGUGUAGUGCUCUCUGCCCUGCGUCUUUCAAACCAUAAAGCCAUCACUUGCUUUGGCUCUGACUGAUUUAAUGUUGGCAUAUUCUCAUGAGCUUUCAAUCACUGCAGAGUUUAAUUGAAGGGAAAAGAAACAGGAGUGCAAUUUCAGAUGAAAUGAUGCAAACAAUCAUAUCAGCCAGCUUUUUUUACUCUCCAUCCAUCCAUCCAACCAACCAUCCAUCCAUCCAUCCAUCCAUCCAUCCAUCCAUCCAACCAACCAACCAACAACCAAUUCAUUCCUUAAAGACCCACUCUGAUGAAAGUCCUGUUUUUCUUGUUGUCUAUAUGAUCAAAUGGAAUUUUUCUGAUGCUAGAGGAAAUAUCAUAGUGCAAAGUGCAAAAUUGCAUUUCUGAGUAUUUCUGCAUUCAAAUCAAUGUGAACCUAGAAGAAAACGCAAGUGGCAGGUUCAGAAACAGUUGGAUUUUCUAUUUCACAAUCCAUGCUUUACCCCUGGUGCCCCGCUCUGCAGGCCAGACCCCGAGAAGUAGAGAGGAUGGCAGUGGAACAAGUGUCUGCGGAGGUGGGUUGCAAUGCUUGUAAGAAAGCUAAUUAUGAUAUUAGCUUUCAGCACACCCCCAAAGACAUUAGAGUCCGAGAACUGAAUAGCCUCUAUGCCAUUAGCACUACUGAAUAAUAACUCAAUUAUUAACUGAAUAAUCACAAUCUAAAUAUCACUGAGAACACUUUAAAUAGUAGAAAAAAAAGAGUGAUCAGAGUGGGACUAAUCCUGAUCCAUCCAUUCAUUAAUCCAUUCAACUAUUCAUUUUAUUCUUCAUCCAUCUUUUCGUCUAAUUGUCCCAGUUCCUAUCCAAUUUUUAUUGAACUCCAUUCUGUCAUUCUGCCACUUCAGUAUCAUCCACCAGUCCUUUGAUACCUUCAUCUAUCUAUUAUUUAUUCCUCCUUCAUAUCAUAAGAUGUCACCUAUCAUUUCAAACUAUAAAUAAAUUCAUCUGUUCUCAUCUUGUUAAAGGAUUUAUAACUCCUUCAUGUAUUAACUUUCUUUGAAACACUCUCCUUUUAACAUCAUCAUCUAUCAUUUAGCUUGACUUCCUUGUUGAAAAUAUGAAUCCACUCUUCUACCCAUCAUUAUCAGGAAUAAAUCAAUUAUUUAGUAAAAAAAGUAAAGACGUUCCCUUUCAACAAAUCAUUGUCCCAUUCAUUGAUCCAUCCUUUCUUUACAACCAAGCAUCAAUUUUACUGCACAGUACACUUUUCUAUUCCUCCAUUGUCAAUUGUUUCUAAAUGAAAAGGAUACUAUUGAUCCCCAUUGAUUUGUUCACAAACUAGGACAAUCUCAUUGGCAGCUCAGGAAGAUAGUGCUUCCCUCCUGAAUCAUUCACCUCACUUAAAUAUGUACAAACACAUUUGACACCAUGGGUAUGAGUAUGCAUACAUAUGUGUUGUCUUUUUGUAUGCACUAUCUCCUUUUGCAGAUUGCUGCUUGGCUUUGCAUGUUCAUUUGAAAUUCUGCAUGAUUACUUCCUGACCCCGUGACCCCCACAGUGCAUGUCACAACCGUGCAAAAGCUCUUGAUUAAAUGCUUUGUUGAGUUAAAUGCAUUUGCUGUGCACUGAUAUAUGCACCUUUCAACAUUCUCCACCCUCCAUAUGGGAAUUCAUGUUUGUUUCUAUGGCAACAGAUACAGGAAUUAAUACAUUUUAAUGAACAUUUCCAGUGUUUAUUGACACAACAGCAAACACAUACUCAAACUCACACUAACAUACAUACUCUCUAAGCUCUCAUUAAUAGAGGUGGAGUCAAGCUUAAUGUUUUAGUUUGCAUUGGGGAUGGGACAAAGGAGGUAAAGCCGAGAAAAACAGAUGAGACUGCUUUUAUCAAAACCCUCUAAGAGCAUUUUUCCCCUCAUUUCCCCCAAAUCC